rnacentral:rRNA from 1 species
AGCCCCGUAAGCGAAAUCCAAAGAAGGCCUAUCAGUAUCCUGAGUAGGGCGGGACACGUGAAAUCCCGUUUGAAUCCGCGAGGACCAUCUCGCAAGGCUAAAUACUAACCAGUGACCGAUAGUGAACCAGUACCGUGAGGGAAAGGUGAAAAGAACCCCGGGAGGGGAGUGAAAGAGAACCUGAAACCGUGUGCCUACAAGUAGUCAGAGCCCGUUAACGGGUAAUGGCGUGCCUUUUGUAGAAUGAACCGGCGAGUUGCGUUAGUCAGCAAGGUUAAGUCAGAAAAGACGGAGCCGUAGCGAAAGCGAGUCUGAAGAGGGCGAGCAGUUGGCUGACGCAGACCCGAAACCAAGUGACCUACCCAUGACCAGGUUGAAGGC